GUGAGUAACACGUGGGUGAUCUGCCCUGCACUUUGGGAUAAGCCUGGGAAACUGGGUCUAAUACCGAAUAUGACUACGCACUUCCUGGUGUGUGGUGGAAAGCUUUUGCGGUGUGGGAUGGGCCCGCGGCCUAUCAGCUUGUUGGUGGGGUAAUGGCCUACCAAGGCGACGACGGGUAGCCGGCCUGAGAGGGUGACCGGCCACACUGGGACUGAGAUACGGCCCAGACUCCUACGGGAGGCAGCAGUGGGGAAUAUUGCACAAUGGGCGCAAGCCUGAUGCAGCGACGCCGCGUGAGGGAUGACGGCCUUCGGGUUGUAAACCUCUUUCAGCACAGACGAAGCGCAAGUGACGGUAUGUGCAGAAGAAGGACCGGCCAACUACGUGCCAGCAGCCGCGGUAAUACGUAGGGUCCGAGCGUUGUCCGGAAUUACUGGGCGUAAAGAGCUCGUAGGUGGUUUGUCGCGUUGUUCGUGAAAACUCACAGCUUAACUGUGGGCGUGCGGGCGAUACGGGCAGACUUGAGUACUGCAGGGGAGACUGGAAUUCCUGGUGUAGCGGUGGAAUGCGCA
rnacentral:rRNA from 1 species